GCAAACUUGGUCAUUUAGAGGAAGUAAAAGUCGUAACAAGGUUUCCGUAGGUGAACCUGCGGAAGGAUCAUUAGAGAAUCAUUGACGCAGGGUUUUUUUUGCCCUGUGUCAACCCACUCUAUUUCACCCCUUGUGAACUGUCGAUCGGUCGAGAAUGUCCUGCAUUCUUGGUCGAGGGUGUUGCAAUUCGAUUCGAUGUCGACUUGCCACCCGAAUCACCCUUUUGAAAACCAUAGUGUGUUGAAUGGCACGCCACAUGGCGAUUCUCUGAAACACAAAUACAACUUUCAGCAACGGAUCUCUAGGCUCUCGCAUCGAUGAAGAACGCAGC
rnacentral:misc_RNA from 1 species